AUGAUAAUUUGGAACACGAUUAGUGGAGUAAGGGAGGUAGCAGUGCUGAAGCGAGUGACUAUCUAUCGUUGUUUGUGCUGUCGAUAUGGUCGAUGCGUUACCGGUGAUAAAUUGAGUUUUGGAUUCGGAUUCGAGUUCUUAUCGGUGUUGCUUUAUCGCAAGUUGGCUUAUCAACUCAAAUCAGGGUAUCUGAGCUGAUGUACAGUGGUUGGGGACCAUGCUGAGAACACAGUGUCAUCGUUAAUCGCGGCUUGCUUUUAGUCGAUGUUCCAUUCCAAAUCGAAUCAAACCAGCUUCUGUGAAUUUAACUCUAAGUGAAGAUUUUCUAAUAAAUGUUAUAGAGUGAUUUAUCAACAUGUUUCAUUCAAUUAAUGCAAA